rnacentral:sRNA from 1 species
GUGUACCCCAUGGACACUGCGGUUCCUGCGCGCCGGCCGCACCCAGCUGACGACCGCUCGCGGCGUUUUGUGAGCC